AGUUCAAGGCAGAGCUCUGCAGUGCACUGAAAGCUUUGUGGCAGCUUCAUAAGCAAUCCCAAACUCUGGAAUAUACUGAGCAGUGAGUUAUUUGAUUACACGUAUUAAGUGGAUUGAAAUUGCUCCUCGUAUAUUGUUUUAAUGAGGCUUGAUCUGGAGUUUUGGCAUGGCAAAGAUGGAAGGAGCUUGAGAAAGAGAAGGGAGCGUCUUCCUUAUACACUUAAGCCAGAAGGACUUGGAAGAGUGUUUUGGGGAUUUAAUGAAUAGCUGCCUGUGGCUCUCCCUAUGAAAAACGUAAAAUGCUCAUUAGUUUCUUCUUACUUUUCCUAUAUUUGUUGUGUGCAAUUUUUUUGUCUGCUGGGUGUGUGAUGUACUUGGGUUGUACCAGUUACUGGAAGUGUAGGAUGUGCUCCAGGUGAGCUGGAGAGUGAGGGAGUGUGCUGCAGAAGCUUCACUUUGGACCCUGGCAUGUCAGGCACAGAUGGAGCUGUUCUACUUGGAUGGGGCUCUUCUUGGGAUGCUGCAGCACAUAAGGCCUUACCCUUGUCCGACUAUUUAUGGAGCAGAAGCUUACUUGUUCUGGUCCAUCUUUCUUAGGGACAGUUCCAGGCAGGCGGCUGCCCAGCACUUGUACUCUUAAAGAGGGAAAACAAUGCAAAGAGAGGAUGUCCCUGGAGGGAGAUCAUGCCCUGCUGCAUCUGCUCACAUAUGCAAGACAGAUUUUUUUCAAGCACAACAGCCAGAUGGGAACAUGACUGCCAUUCAUUCCCCUGGAAACACUCCUCUUUGCUUUGGUGCUGAAUGUCUGGAAGCAGAUGAGUGAUUAGAAUCAUCAAACUGUAGGAAAACAGAAUGGAAAGAAUGUCUGGAGGUCAUGUGAUCCAACCUCAUGCUGAAAGUAGAGCUGACUUCACAAUUAGUUGAGGUUGCCCAAAGCCUUUUUUUGGUGAAGAUUUGCAUGUCUCAGAACAGGAAUGCUGCAGCCUGUGUAGACAACCCAUUCCUGUGAUUAACCACCCCCACAAGAAGAAUCCCCUUCCUUCAUUCCUCUGAGAGGCAGGAAGAAGAAGAGAAGUGGCAGGUGCCCACUGGUGCUGAGUGCAGAAGACUGCAGCAGAUGACAUGG